rnacentral:rRNA from 1 species
GGGCCGACAUAGUGUUGUUUUGUGCGGUAAAGCGAAUGAUUAGCGUAUUUGGGGGCAAUUUGUCUUCAGACGAUUCUCAAACUUUCAAUGCGCAAGGGUGUUGCUGCUUAAUUGAGCUUCACCGUUAAAAACGUCGGCCCUGUGGGCCACUUUUGGUAAGCAGAACUGGCGAUACGGGAUGAACCGUAAGCACGGUUAAGGCGCCAGACUACUCGCUUAUAGAUCCCACAAAAGGUGUUGAUUCAUCGAGACAGCAGGACGGUGGCCAUGGAAGUCGGAAUCCGCCAAGGAGUGUGUAACAACUCACCUGCCGAAUGAAUUAGCCCUGAAAAUGGAUGGCGCUUAAGCGGGUGGCCGACACCGUGCCGUCUGAAUGAUAAAUUUCAGAUGAGUAGGAGGACGUGGUGAUCGUGACGAAGUAUGCGUGCGAACGCGUAUCGAACGAUCACUAGUGCAGAUCUUGGUGGUAGUAGCAAAUAUUCAAGCGAGAUCCUUGAAGGGCGAAGCGGGGAAGGGUUCCACGCUAACAUUGAUUGGGCGUGGGUGAGUCGUUCCUAAGCCGAGUGGCAAUUGCUAAGUAACGGCGAAAGGGAAGCGGGUUUACAUUCCCGCACACGGAUGUGGAGGCGGUGACGCUUUAUUGGGGUGAACACGCUGGCGAUGGCGCUGGGCAGAGUUGUCUUUUCUGUUUGACCGUUUGCGCAUGCGGUGUGGAGUCCGCUUGUCGGGAGAAACACGCAUGUGCGGGCAUAGCGCCGGGGCUUAUCCGGCGUCCAGCUCGCCAUCGACGGCCCUUGAAACUUUGCCUGCUGGUUUUAGAAUCCACGCCGUGGCGUACCGAUCACCGCAUCAGGUCCCCGAGGUGAACAGCCUCUGCUCAAUAUGAAAAAUGCAGGUAAGGGAAGUCGGCAAAUUAGACCCGUAACUUUGGGAAAAGGGUUGGCUCUAGUGCUGCGUGGGAGUGGUUGUCAAGUUGUGGCGCUCUCGAAGGUACUGAUUCGCGCGAUACCUUGGUGUUGUUCGUUCGGCGCCAUUGAUUGUGCUGCUCUUGACGACGCCCACAGCAUGCAGCAGACUAGAACUGCAACGGGCAAAGGGAAUCCGACUGUUUAAUUAAAACAAAGCAUUGCGAGGGCCGUGGCCGGUGAU